GCCUUCGUGGUGUAGUGGUCAGCACGCUGGGCGUGUAUCCUGAUGUCCGUGGUUCGAGUCCUGGCGAAGGCG
rnacentral:tRNA from 1 species